GAGAACAGGGCUUCCCGUCCGCUCAGCCGUACUUAAGCCACACGCCGGGAGGUUAGUAGUUGGGUGGGUGACCACCAGCGAAUCCCUCCUGUUGUAUGUU
rfam:Aspergillus flavus AF70 539, whole genome shotgun sequence.